AGUGAACGCUGGCGGUAGGCCUAACACAUGCAAGUCGAACGGCAGCACAGUAAGAGCUUGCUCUUACGGGUGGCGAGUGGCGGACGGGUGAGGAAUACAUCGGAAUCUACUUUUUCGUGGGGGAUAACGUAGGGAAACUUACGCUAAUACCGCAUACGACCUACGGGUGAAAGCAGGGGAUCUUCGGACCUUGCGCGAUUGAAUGAGCCGAUGUCGGAUUUGCUAGUUGGCGGGGUAAAGGCCCACCAAGGCGACGAUCCGUAGCUGGUCUGAGAGGAUGAUCGGCCACACUGGAGCUGAGACACGGUCCAGACUCCUACGGGAGGCAGCAGUGGGGAAUAUUGGACAAUGGGCGCAAGCCUGAUCCAGCCAUACCGCGUGGGUGAAGAAGGCCUUCGGGUUGUAAAGCCCUUUUGUUGGGAAAGAAAAGCAGCAGGUUAAUACCCCGCUGUUCUGACGGUACCCAAAGAAUAAGCACCGGCUAACUUCGUG
rnacentral:rRNA from 1 species